rnacentral:rRNA from 1 species
UACGUAGGGUGCAAGCGUUGUCCGGAAUUAUUGGGCGUAAAGAGCUCGUAGGCGGCUUGUCGCGUCGACUGUGAAAACCCGCGGCUCAACUGUGGGCUUGCAGUCGAUACGGGCAGGCUGGAGUUCGGUAGGGGAGACUGGAAUUCCUGGUGUAGCGGUGAAAUGCGCAGAUAUCAGGAGGAACACCAAUAGCGAAGGCAGCUCGCUGGGACGUUACUGACACUGAGGCGCGAAAGCGUGGGGAGCGAACAGG